rnacentral:rRNA from 1 species
UAGGGAAUAUUGCACAAUGGGGGAAACCCUGAUGCAGCGACGCCGCGUGAGUGAAGAAGUAUUUCGGUAUGUAAAGCUCUAUCAGCAGGGACGAGAAUGACGGUACCUGACUAAGAAGCCCCGGCUAACUACGUGCCAGCAGCCGCGGUAAUACGUAGGGGGCAAGCGUUAUCCGGAUUUACUGGGUGUAAAGGGAGCGUAGACGGCGUAGCAAGUCUGAAGUGAAAGGCUGGGGCUCAACCCCGGGACUGCUUUGGAAACUGUUAGGCUGGAGUGCAGGAGAGGUAAGUGGAAUUCCUAGUGUAGCGGUGAAAUGCGUAGAUAUUAGGAGGAACACCAGUGGCGAAGGCGGCUUUCUGGACUGAAACUGACACUGAGGCACGAAAGUGUGGGGAGCAAACAGGAUUAGAUACC